UGAGGAAUAUUGGUCAAUGGACGCAAGUCUGAACCAGCCAAGUAGCGUGCAGGAUGACGGCCCUAUGGGUUGUAAACUGCUUUUAUAUGGGGAUAAAGUGGGGAACGUGUUCCCUUUUGCAGGUACCAUAUGAAUAAGGACCGGCUAAUUCCGUGCCAGCAGCCGCGGUAAUACGUAAGGUCCGAGCGUUGUCCGGAAUCAUUGGGCGUAAAGGGUACGUAGGCGGGUAAGCAAGUUAGAAGUGAAAUCCUGUAGCUCAACUACAGUAAGCUUUUAAAACUGCUCAUCUUGAGAUAUGGAAGGGAAAGUGGAAUUCCUAGUGUAGCGGUGAAAUGCGCAGAUAUUAGGAGGAAUACCGGUGGCGAAGGCGACUUUCUGGCCAUAAUCUGACGCUGAGGUACGAAAGCGUGGGUAGCAAACAGA
rnacentral:rRNA from 1 species